AAAGGGGAUGCUGUAGGGUCCUGAAAGGUGCAGCGUCCCCAGGGCCAUAGGGCGCUGCCGUGGGGUCCCCAGGGAGAUGAGGUUCCCAUGGGUGCUGCCAUGGGGUCCCUGGGGGGCUGGGUUCCCAUAGGGCGCUGCCAUGGGGUCCCCAGGGAGGUCAGGUUCCUAUAGGUCCCACCAUAGGGUCCCCAGGGGGCUGGGUUCCUAUGGGUGCUGCCAUGGGGUCCCCGGAGAGGUCAGGUUCCUACAGGUGCUGCCAUAGGGUCCUGAAAGGUGCAGUGUCCCCAGGCCCAUAGGGUGCUGCCAUGGGGUCCCAAGAUGGGGAGGAACUCAUGGGGAGAUGAGGAUCCUAUGGGUGCUGCCAUGGGGUCCCCAGGGGGCUGGGUUCCCAUAGGGCGCUGCCAUGGGGUCCCAAGGGAGGUCAGGUUGCUAUGGGUGCUGCCACGGGGUCCCUGCAGAGGCGAUGUCCCCAGGCCAUAGGGCACUGCUAUGGGGUCCCCAGGGAGCUCAUGUUCCCAUAGGUGCUGCCAUGGGGUCCCCAAAGGGGCUGGGUUCCCAUAGGGCACUGCCAUGGGGUCCCCAGAGAGGUCAGGUUCCUAUGGGUGCUGCCAUGGGGUCCCCAAAGGGACUGAGUUCCCAUGGGGCGCUGCCAUAGGAUCCCCAGGAGGCUGGGUUCCCAUAGGGCGCUGCCAUGGGGUCCCCAGGGAGGUCAGGUUCAUAUGGGUGCUGCCACGGGGUCCCCGCAGAGGCGAUGUCCCCAGGCCCAUAGGGCGCUGCCAUGGGGUCCCAAGGGAGAUGAGGUUCCUAUGGGCGCUACCAUGGGGUCCCCAGAGAGGUCAGGUUCCCAUAGGGCGCUGCCAUGGGGUCCCCAGGGAGAUGAGGUUCCUAUGGGUGCUGCCAUUGGGUCCCCAGGGGGCUGGCUUCCUAUGGGUGCUGCCACGGGGUCCCCGCAGAGGCGAUGUCCCCAGGCCCAUAGGGCGCUGCCGUGGGGUCCCCAUCGGUGUGGGUCCUCACGGCGCCGUGUCCCCCCCCUUUCCCCCCCCCGUGCCCGCAGUACGUGACGCUCAGCGUGGUGCUCAGCCUGCUGGCCGCCGCCGCCUUCCUGCAGCUGAGCAGCGCGGGGAAGCUGCUGCUGGGGGCGGCGCUGGGGGGCGCGUACCUGGCGCUGGCCGAGGGUCCCCACGCCGCCCUCUUCGACAACGCCGACCUCCUGCUGCUGGCACACGC
rnacentral:lncRNA from 1 species